AUUGAACGCUGGCGGCAGGCUUAACACAUGCAAGUCGAGCGGGGUGAGGGGUUUCGGUACUGAUCCUAGCGGCGGACGGGUGAGUAAUGCUUCGGAAUCAGCCAUUUAGGGGGGGACAACAUUCCGAAAGGAAUGCUAAUACCGCAUACGUCCUACGGGAGAAAGCAGGGGAUCUUCGGACCUUGCGCUAAAUGAUGAGCCUGAGUCGGAUUAGCUAGUUGGUGGGGUAAAGGACUACCAAGGCGACGAUCUGUAGCGGGUCUGAGAGGAUGGUCCGCCACACUGGGACUGAGACACGGCCCAGACUCCUACGGGAAGCAGCAGUGGGGAAUAUUGGACGAUGGGCGGAAGCCUGAUCCAGCCAUGCCGCGUGUGUGAAGAAGGCCUUUUGGUUGUAAAGCACUUUAAGCGAGGAGGAGGCUACCUGGAUUAAUACUCUAGGAUAGUGGACGUUACUCGCAGAAUAAGCACCGGCUAACUCUGUGCCAGCCGCCGCCGUAACAC
rnacentral:rRNA from 1 species